rnacentral:rRNA from 1 species
GACUCUCGGCAACGGAUAUCUCGGCUCUUGCAUCGAUGAAGAACGUAGCGAAAUGCGAUACUUGGUGUGAAUUGCAGAAUCCCGUGAACCAUCGAGUCUUUGAACGCAAGUUGCGCCCGAAGCCAUUAGGCCGAGGGCACGCCUGCCUGGGUGUUG